GUUAGUACGUUUAGUUUACAGUUUUGUCCUGCCAUAGUAUAUUAAUAUCCUUACAUUAAGUUUACGUCUGAUCAGGUAUGACACAUUAUACAGUUUUUCACUAAACAACUACAUGUUUAGCGAUAAGCUGUCUCGCUCGAUAAUGUUAGUACAGAUUUUGCGUACCGCUUUAAAGAAUAACCGAUAGCAUGGCCCGCUUGGUCAAUGCCUCCAUCUAGCAGCCAUCAAAGAGCUGUUAUGCUACUCAGUAUUUACUAUCUAUGAUCACAAAAUUAAUGCUACAAUAAGUUAGCUUUUAACCCAUCAAGAUGACGCACAAGCGCAUUCCACCGGCCAAUCAGGUCCCCGAUACAGACGAAGACGGCUUCAUGCGCUAAUUAUAAUACUAAUUUCGCUAAUUUUGCUAAUUUAACGUGGUGUCACAACUUAUUUAGCAUUUAUUCAUACAUUAUCUUCAUUAUCUUUAUCCCUAGUCAGUGGAUAUGGCAAAUAACUAGAGAGGUGAGCCCCCAUACUCAAGGAUCCACAAAGCAGCAUUACGUCCGCGAAGGGAACCGACAAGCGCAUCAUGGUGGCCAAUCACUAAACACCCUGUGCCAUAUCACGACACCCAUCGGGGGAACAUUCCCGCUGUCAUGAUUUGACAGAUAUCCACUGACUCCAAAUUCUCGAUUCCACGCUUUAAUAUCGAAUAUUUCCGCGAUCCUAGACUUAGGUGAUGUUCUCAUUCUUGAAUGGCAAACAUAACGCAAAGUUUACCAUUCUCAUGCUCAACUAAUUCUCUCGGCCAAUCAAGUCAGCCGGGGGAAACAACCGCCAUCUUGGUCAACCAGCCAAUCAGCUGCCCGACACAUGGAGAGCCUCCAUUCACAUGAAUACUUCGCCCGGUGUCUUCACCUCCGACCUCGCAUAACCGCAAAGUAAACGUCAACAGACUCACGUACCUGGCAGCUGUCAGCAACUCUCCGAAUCUCGUAUUCACCACCAGUUCCAGAGUAUAUUUGAGUGCUGUGCCCCUUCACCUUUAACGCAGAACUUUCCAGCAGGGAACCACACAUAUAGGAUCCAGACAGCGCAAUAGACAGUCAACGCCAUCAAUACCCCAUAGGACAAAUUCGGGCACACUACAUCUCCAGACUAUCCAUCCUACUGCUCCAAAUAACCAUGCGAGCAUGGCCCCGCUGCGCAGGGAACAAUACCAGAGCACACACCCAUACAUGGAAUCAACAGCAUACAUACAUAAUAUAAUAUCCUUAUUAUGUAAUUUAUCACCACAUUCUUAUUAAAUAUAUCAAUGAUAAUUAUG